rnacentral:lncRNA from 1 species
UCAGAAAUUGUCUGCAGAGCAAGCUGCGAUUCGGAAGGAUGUGAGCAAGAUGAAACGCUUAUUGAAUAUGAUUUUUGACAAGUUAGGAUGUUGCCGAGCAGAUUUACCUCCAGGGGAUGCUUCCGAUUAGGAGUUACCGGGUUCCUUCUUUUGUCGUUUUGGCGCUUUCUGACAAAAAGGGGGAGAUGGAGAUUGUGUUGUGGUUCUUGGUGGUUAUUGAUGGUCUUGAUGAUGAUGAUGCAUUUAGCUUAGCUUCGCUUAGUUAUUUUAGUCUUGAUGAUGAUACUCUUGAUCUUGAUGAUGAUGAUGUAUUUAGCUUAGAUGCAGCAUUUUGUUUAAGAUGAACUUUGUUUAGUUAGUGCUUUAGGUGUUUGAUUAUGGACUAUGAAUUAUGAACUAUGACUUGAUACUUUGUUUGGUCUUGAUACUUGAAUCUUGAUUAUGUUUUGAGAAUGUUUUUGCAGGAAUAAUUCAAGACUUCAAGACUCCAUGUCUAAGUCAUAGAGUUUGUAUUAAGGUUGUAAAAGUGUAAAUUUCGUUUACUGGAUUGAUCAUGCAGGAGAUUAUCGUUUGGUGAUUGCGAUGAUCUUCUUUUUAUUAUUUAUUAGUUGUAUACGAACUUUGUAAUAUAUUUUGUCACGAAAUCGCCAAAGGGGGAGAUUGUUAAGGAUUUUAUAGGUUGGCGAAUUUCGUAAAGUUGAUUGGAGUCUUGAAGAGUUGAUCGCAGAAGUUUUGAAGAAAAGAUUCAAAUUAAAGAACAAAGACUCAUUCGGAAAGCUCGACACCUAAGGUAUAAAGAAAAGAUCAUUUGUGGUGAAUAUACCUAAUUAGAAUAAGUUCAGAAGGCUUAGAUUACUUUAAAAAUACUUUACUGAGCUUUUCUG